rfam:Lupinus angustifolius cultivar Tanjil chromosome LG03, whole genome shotgun sequence.
CCGACCUUAGCUCAGUUGGUAGAGCGGAGGACUGUAGUUGGAGUAAUCUUGCAGAUCAUCCUUAGGUCGCUGGUUCGAAUCCGGCAGGUCGGA